rnacentral:rRNA from 1 species
CCUACGGGUGGCAGCAGUGGGGAAUAUUGCACAAUGGGGGGAACCCUGAUGCAGCGACGCCGCGUGGGUGAGGAAGUACUUCGGUAUGUAAAGCCAUAUCAGCAGGGAAGAAAAUGACGGUACCUGACUAAGAAGCCCCGGCUAACUACGUGCCAGCAGCCGCGGGACUACGUAGGGGGCGAGCGUUAUUCGGAUUUACUGGGGGGAAAGGGGGGGCAGACGGCAGCGCAAGCACGGAGUGAAAGCCCGGGGCCCAACCCCGGGACUGCUGUUGGAACCGGGGGGCUGGAGUGCAGGAGGGGCAGGAGGAAUUCCUGGGGUAGCGGUGAAAUGCGUAGGUAUCAGGAGGAACACCGGUGGCGAAGGCGGCCUGCUGGACUGCGACUGACGUUGAGGCCCGAAAGCGUGGGGAGCAAACAGGAUUAGAUACCCUGGUAGUC